CCGUAACUAUAACGGUCCUAAGGUAGCGAAAUUCCUUGUCGGGUAAGUUCCGACCCGCACGAAAGGCGUAAUGAUUUGAGCACUGUCUCGACAAUGCAUCCGGUGAAAUUGAAGUACCAGUGAAGAUGCUGGUUACCCGCGCCAGGACGGAAAGACCCCAUGGAGCUUUACUCCAGUUUGGUACUGGGAUUCGGUACUGCAUGUACAGGAUAGGUGGGAGACUGAGAAAUUGGAACGCCAGUUUCAAUGGAGUCACUGUUGGGAUACCACCCCUGCAGUAUUGGGUUUCUAACCAGCCGCUGUGAUCCAGCGGUGGGACAAUGCCAGGCGGGGAGUUUGACUGGGGCGGUCGCCUCCGAAAGGGUAUCGGAGGCGCUCAAAGGUUCCCUCAGAAUGGUCGGAAACCAUUCGAAGAGUGCAAAGGCAGAAGGGAGCUUGACUGCGACACCGACGGGUGGAGCAGGUACGAAAGUAGGACUUAGUGAUCCGGUGGUAUAAAGUGGGAUUGCCAUCGCUCAACGGAUAAAAGCUACCCUGGGGAUAACAGGCUUAUCACUCCCAAGAGUUCACAUCGACGGAGUGGUUUGGCACCUCGAUGUCGGCUCAUCGCAUCCUGGGGCUGUAGCAGGUCCCAAGGGUUGGGCUGUUCGCCCAUUAAAGCGGUACGCGAGCUGGGUUCAGAACGUCGUGAGACAGUUCGGUCCCUAUCUGUCGUGGGCGAAGGAUAUUUGAAAGGAGCUGUCCCUAGUACGAGAGGACCGGGAUGGACGCACCUCUGGUGCACCGGUUGUCGUGCCAACGGCACAGCCGGGCAGCUAAGUGCGGAACGGAUAAACGCUGAAGGCAUCUAAGCGUGAAACCGCCCUUAAGAUAAGAUAUCCCAUCGAAAGAGUAAGACCCCUCAAAGACUAUGAGGUUGAUAGGCCUAUGGUGUAAGCAUGGUGACAUGUUCAGCCUGCAGGUACUAAUCGGUCGAGGGCUUGACCUU
rnacentral:rRNA from 1 species